rnacentral:rRNA from 1 species
UAGCAUUAUACCGUGAAACUGCGAAUGGCUCAUUAAAUCAGUUAUCGUUUAUUUGAUAGUACCUUACUACUUGGAUAACCGUGGUAAUUCUAGAGCUAAUACAUGCUAAAAACCCCGACUUCGGGAGGGGUGUAUUUAUUAGAUAAAAAACCAAUGCCCUUCGGGGCUCCUUGGUGAUUCAUGAUAACUUAACGGAUCGCAUGGCCUUGCGCCGGCGACGGUUCAUUCAAAUUUCUGCCCUAUCAACUUUCGAUUGUAGGGUAUUGGCCUACAAUGGUUUCAACGGGUAACGGGGAGUUAGGGCUCGACUCCGGAGAGGGAGCCUGAGAAACGUAAGUUUAUCUGUCUCCCAGAAACUUUUUUGAGUUUGGCUUAUCUUUGCAUGCAGUUCUAAACAUCCAGAUGCUUUUGAACUUAAUACUAACCUAACUUUUAGGGCUACCACAUCCAAGGAAGGCAGCAGGCGCGCAAAUUACCCAAUCCCGACACGGGGAGGUAGUGACAAUAAAUACUGAUACAGGGCUCUUUUGGGUCUUGUAAUUGGAAUGAGUACAAUUUAAAUACCUUAACGAGGAACAAUUGGAGGGCAAGUCUGGUGCCAGCAGCCGCGGUAAUUCCAGCUCCAAUAGCGUAUAUUAAAGUUGUUGCAGUUAAAAAGCUCGUAGUUGAACCUUGGGCCUGGCUGGCCGGUCCGCCUCACCGCGUGCACUGGUCCGGCCGGGCCUUUCCUUCUGGAGAGCCGCAUGCCCUUCACUGGGUGUGUCGGGGAACCAGGACUUUUACUUUGAGAAAAUUAGAGUGUUCAAAGCAGGCCUUUGCUCGAAUACGUUAGCAUGGAAUAAUAGAAUAGGACGUGCGGUCCUAUUUUGUUGGUUUCUAGGACCGCCGUAAUGAUUAAUAGGGAUAGUCGGGGGCAUCAGUAUUCAAUUGUCAGAGGUGAAAUUCUUGGAUUUAUUGAAGACUAACUACUGCGAAAGCAUUUGCCAAGGAUGUUUUCAUUAAUCAGUGAACGAAAGUUAGGGGAUCGAAGACGAUUGUUGAGAAACGACAUUCAAGCAAUAUUAGAUGCGUACAUUAAAAAUAGAGCUUGAGGGAAUUCUGGUCGUCGAAAGCGUAAAAGCUAGUCUGCUAGUCUGCAGGCAACACCAUCAAAUUGCGGGGACACCUGGAAAGCCAAAGUACCACUUACAUGCAGAAAUGCGGUGUAUAGAGCUUGGGAGAGAGACCCGAGUGAAGGUAAAAACCUGAGGCUUGUGAGGGGGGGGUAAAUUUAAAACAUCCCGUAACCCAACCCCUCCGACAGGUAAUCCGCAGCCAAGCCCUAAACCCGCAUCAGUGGGCAGGGGUGCAGUUCACAGGCCAAAUGUUGGUGGGUAGGAGAGAUUGUCUUUCCUGCUUAAGAUAUGGUCGAACCCGGUGCGAGAGCGCUGGGAAAAGGGAGAUCAAAUGCAGAUACCGUCGUAGUCUUAACCGUAAACUAUGCCGACUAGGGAUCGGGCGAUGUUAUUAUUUUGACUCGCUCGGCACCUUACGAGAAAUCAAAGUUUU